UUCUGCGGUAAUACCACUUACAAUAUGCCCCAUCUCAUCUGAUUUCAGAAGAUAAGCAGUGCUGGGCAUGCUUUGUACUUAGAAAGGGGAAAUACUGGCAAAUAGACU
rnacentral:rRNA from 1 species